rnacentral:lncRNA from 1 species
UUUACUCCUUUCCCUAUUGCAUUCAUCCUCGCUUUCUUCUCCCUUAUUCAACAGUUUUCCCUUUUAUUUUUUUUGGUUCCACGCUUUUUUCUUCACUUUUUUUAAUUGUUUAAUGGAUCCAGAGAAGUUGCAAUAUUCAACGUGCCUUUCACUCUAGGAACCUCCAUUCUUCGUUCAUUAUUUCUGUUUCCCUUUUACUCUUCUCUUCAACUUUGCUCUUUUCUUUUUAAUUGAAGCUAUAUUGAAUUUUUAAAGUUUUAAACAACCGUAAACGGUGUAGUUUUAAGUUUUAGAUCUAAAUUUUUUAUUAAAUUAACUGGUACCGCUAAUGACAACUAUAGUAACAAAAAUCAAAUUCUUUUAAAUAUAUAUAUAUAUAUUUUUUUUUUUGACUGGUGCCAUGGCACCAAAAACACUAUUUAAA